rnacentral:rRNA from 1 species
UACGUAGGGGGCUAGCGUUGUUCGGAAUUACUGGGCGUAAAGCGCGCGCAGGCGGUCUUCCAAGUCAGUGGUGAAAGCCCGGAGCUCAACUCCGGAACUGCCAUUGAAACUGUGAGACUGGAGUACGAGAGAGGUGAGUGGAAUUCCCAGUGUAGAGGUGAAAUUCGUAGAUAUUCGCAAGAACACCAGUGGCGAAGGCGGCUCACUGGCCCGAUACUGACGCUGAGGCACGAAAGCGUGGGGAGCAAACAGG